rnacentral:rRNA from 1 species
UACGAAGGGGGCUAGCGUUGUUCGGAAUUACUGGGCGUAAAGCGCACGUAGGCGGAUAUUUAAGUCAGGAGUGAAAUCCCAGAGCUCAACUCUGGAACUGCCUUUGAUACUGGGUAUCUUGAGUAUGGAAGAGGUAAGUGGAAUUCCGAGUGUAGAGGUGAAAUUCGUAGAUAUUCGGAGGAACACCAGUGGCGAAGGCGGCUUACUGGUCCAUUACUGACGCUGAGGUGCGAAAGCGUGGGGAGCAAACAGG